rnacentral:misc_RNA from 1 species
AUUCAUGUGUCAUAGGAUAUUAAUACUUCUGACAUACAGUGAAUGAAAUCUUAAGCUUACUGCUCUUCAUAGUAAAUUACAGUAUAGUUUCGUACAUUUCAUAUUUCUAUAACAAAAGAGGAUUUUUUGUGCUAAUUUUAACUUUUUUUUAAUCUGUAUUUCACAGCCUUUUUGAUCACAAGUUUCAGCAAAAUACUAAGUUUUGGAUAUGUUAUAAAAUUUUGUCCAUUUUUUUGUGCAUUAAAUAUUUUAGUUAGAAUUGUCAGUAUUUUACUGAAAGUUUCCUAGCGAAUGUUAAAGGUGUCAUGCAUUUUGUGUCAUAUUUGAUAGGAGUUUUGAACUUUAGUGUUCUUGUUUACUUUUUACAUUUGUUAAUUUUUUUAAGAUAUGAACAGAGAAUGUGUAAAGUUGUAUUUGGUGACUUUUUCAAAUUUUGCAAACAAAACUUUUUCAGCAUUUGAGAAUAGAAACUGUACACCAUGUAUGAAUUUAUUAAACAGCACAGAUUUCUGGAUUUGCUUGUUUUGUGGUUAUAAUGUUUUGUUGGUAUCCAGCAAUUGAUCAAUAAUGAUUAUAAUGAAUUAUUGUCCAAGAUUGAUAAGCCAUGCACAUCUAUUGCCUUAUUGGCCUUUUCACCACUUGUUAUUUCAAAGAUGUAGCUAAGAGUCUAGCAAUCUGAUUAAAAAUCUCAUCUUUGAUCCGCUCCGACAAUUUUGAUGUUGCUUCACAAAGUCUUUGUCAUGUUGAGAGCCUAUAAAGCGUUAACAGUU